rnacentral:rRNA from 1 species
UACGUAGGGUGCAAGCGUUGUCCGUAAUUAUUGGGCGUAAAGAGCUCGUAGGCGGUUUGUCACGUCGGAUGUGAAACCCUGAGGCUCAACCUCAGGCCUGCAUUCGAUACGGGCAGACUAGAAUUCGGCAGGGGAGACUGGAAUUCCUGGUGUAGCGGUGAAAUGCGCAGAUAUCAGGAGGAACACCGGUGGCGAAGGCGGGUCUCUGGGCCGAUAUUGACGCUGAGGAGCGAAAGCGUGGGGAGCAAACAGG